rnacentral:rRNA from 1 species
CUCUACGGCCAUACCACCCUGAACGCGCCCGAUCUCGUCUGAUCUCGGAAGCUAAGCAGGGUCGGGCCUGGUUAGUACUUGGAUGGGAGACAUUGUAUGUUGGAUUGUUGAAGACCAGAGUUGUGGUAAAGG